UGGGGAAUAUUGGACAAUGGGCGCAAGCCUGAUCCAGCCAUGCCGCGUGAGUGACGAAGGCCUUAGGGUUGUAAAGCUCUUUUGGCGGGGAAGAUAAUGACGGUACCCGCAGAAUAAGCUCCGGCUAACUUCGUGCCAGCAGCCGCGGUAAUACGAAGGGAGCUAGCGUUGUUCGGAAUCACUGGGCGUAAAGCGCACGUAGGCGGACUUUCAAGUCAGGGGUGAAAUCCCGGGGCUCAACCUCGGGACUGCCUUUGAUACUGUUGGUCUCGAGUCCGGAAGAGGUGAGUGGAAUUCCUAGUGUAGAGGUGAAAUUCGUAGAUAUUAGGAAGAACACCGGUGGCGAAGGCGGCUCACUGGUCCGGUACUGACGCUGAGGUGCGAAAGCGUGGGGAGCAAACA
rnacentral:rRNA from 1 species